rnacentral:rRNA from 1 species
GAUGAACGCUGGCGGCGUGCCUAAUACAUGCAAGUCGAGCGAACGGACGAGAAGCUUGCUUCUCUGAUGUUAGCGGCGGACGGGUGAGUAACACGUGGAUAACCUACCUAUAAGACUGGGAUAACUUCGGGAAACCGGAGCUAAUACCGGAUAAUAUUUUGAACCGCAUGGUUCAAAAGUGAAAGACGGUCUUGCUGUCACUUAUAGAUGGAUCCGCGCUGCAUUAGCUAGUUGGUAAGGUAACGGCUUACCAAGGCAACGAUGCAUAGCCGACCUGAGAGGGUGAUCGGCCACACUGGAACUGAGACACGGUCCAGACUCCUACGGGAGGCAGCAGUAGGGAAUUUUCCGCAAAGGGCGAAAGCCUGACGGAGCAACGCCGCGUGAGUGAUGAAGGUCUUCGGAUCGUAAAACUCUGUUAUUAGGGAAGAACAUAUGUGUAAGUAACUGUGCACAUCUUGACGGUACCUAAUCAGAAAGCCACGGCUAACUACGUG